CCUAAUGAAUAUAUUCUUGAAUUAUGCAGAAACUGGAAGAUCUCAGGUAUUUUAGGAGUCAAUUAUUCUGAGGCGGAGGCAGUGAAAGCAGUAAUUUUAUUUUGCAUUAAUCUAAUUUUAAGAAAACUAAGCUAAACCAUGAAGCCCUGAUUUUACUCUCCCCAGUACAACAGGUGGCAGUAUGCAGCUGUACUCUGCUCUGUAACUCAACACACAACUAGAAGAAAAGGUUAUCCAGUUUCUUCUAGAGUUUCUGCUGGAGAUCAAACUCUUCAUACCCAUCAUGGAGGAUAAACACACUUCUGACGAUCAGGAUUUGUUUGCAGCAUGCAGCUCGGUUAACCAGAGGAGAACAGAAGCAGACCCCAGUUGUGUGUCUAUGAAGAGUGACUGGUCUAUGGAUGAACCAAUACAUUUUAGGAGUAAAAACAAACGACC